rnacentral:rRNA from 1 species
UACCAGCACCCCGAGUGGUCGGGACGUUUAUUGGGCCUAAAGCAUCCGUAGCCGGUUCUACAAGUCUUCCGUUAAAUCCACCUGCUUAACAGAUGGGCUGCGGAAGAUACUAUGGAGCUAGGAGGCGGGAGAGGCAAGCGGUACUCGAUGGGUAGGGGUAAAAUCCGUUGAUCCAUUGAAGACCACCAGUGGCGAAGGCGGCUUGCCAGAACGCGCUCGACGGUGAGGGAUGAAAGCUUGGGGGAGCAAACCGG